GUUCCGAUCUCAUUGUGAUUGUUGUUAAUUUUAUUACGUCCGCAGAAAGUUUUGCGUAUUAAUUCACCGCUAUUAAAAUUGGCGCUACCGCCACCGCUUUCAUCAGCAUAGACGGUGUUAUAACUGCGGAAAUUAAUUUUAGCAUCUGCAUUGCACAUCCCUGGCGGAGACAAUGAGAAUACUCGGACGAACAGAGAUUUAAAAAUUAUUCGCCACUGUCACGAUCAACCAGCUCGCGGUUCUGAGAUGAGAAGAUCGCACCGAGUGCUUUGCAAUACUAUUUCUAUGCGGAUCACCAAUACGUCUCAAGGGCCAUACCGAGGAUAAAUAUAAACCCUAACUACGAUUGUAACAUCCAUAUAUCGUAUUUCUAUACCUCUACUUCUCGCGUACAUCUAG
rnacentral:misc_RNA from 1 species